CCUUAGAGUUUGAUCCUGGCUCAGGACGAACGCUGGCGGCGUGCUUAACACAUGCAAGUCGAGCGAGGAGAUAGCUGGAAGUUCUUCGGGAUGGAAGGUUAUGUUCGAGCGGCGGACGGGUGAGUAACGCGUGAACAAUCUGUCCCAUGCAGGGGGAUAACACUUGGAAACAGGUGCUAAUACCGCAUAAGACCACGGAGGGGCAUCCCUUUGGGGUAAAAGGAGGAAUCCGGAAUGGGGUGAGUUCGCGUCCGAUUAGCUAGUUGGUUGGGUAAAGGCUCACCAAGGCGACGAUCGGUAGCCGACCUGAGAGGGUGAACGGCCACAUUGGAACUGAGAGACGGUCCAAACUCCUACGGGAGGCAGCAGUGGGGAAUAUUGGGCAAUGGGCGAAAGCCUGACCCAGCAACGCCGCGUGAGGGAAGAAGGUUUUCGGAUUGUAAACCUCUGUCCUUGGUGACGAAGGAAGUGACGGUAGCCAAGGAGGAAGCCCCGGCUAACUACGUGCCAGCAGCCGCGGUAAUACGUAGGGGGCGAGCGUUGUCCGGAAUUACUGGGCGUAAAGGGUGCGUAGGCGGCAAUUUAAGUUGGAUGUGAAAUACCCGGGCUUAACCUGGGGGGUGCAUUCAAAACUGGAUAGCUAGAGUACAGGAGAGGGAAGCGGAAUUCUUAGUGUAGCGGUGAAAUGCGUAAAUAUUAGGAGGAAAACCGGUGGGCGAAAGCGGCUUACUGGAAGGUAACUGACGUUGAGGGCUCAAAAGCUGGGGAGCAAACAAGAUUAGAUACCCCUGGUAGUCCACCCGGUAAAACCAUGAAUGCUAGGUGUCGGGGGAGCAAAGCUCUUCGGUGCCCCCCCAAACGCAUUAAAGCAUUCCCCCUGGGGAGUACGUUCGCAAGAAUGAAACUCAAAGGAAUGGACGGGGACCCGCACAAGCGGUGGAGCAUGUGGUU
rnacentral:rRNA from 1 species